rnacentral:rRNA from 1 species
GAUGAACGCUAGCGGCAGGCCUAACACAUGCAAGUCGAGGGGCAGCAUAAAACAAGCUUGCUUGUUUGGUGGCGACCGGCGCACGGGUGCGUAACGCGUAUGCAACCUACCCUGUACUGGGGGAUAGCCCGGAGAAAUUCGGAUUAACACCCCAUAGUAUUCUUGAAUGGCAUCAUUUAAGAAUUAAAGGUUACGGUACAGGAUGGGCAUGCGUCCUAUUAGCUAGAUGGUGAGGUAACGGCUCACCAUGGCGACGAUAGGUAGGGGGCCUGGGAGGGUGGUCCCCCACACUGGUACUGAGACACGGCCCAGACUCCUACGGGAGGCAGCAGUGGGGAAUAUUGCACAAUGGGCGCAAGCCUGAUGCAGCAACGCCGCGUGGGGGAUGACGGCCUUCGGGUUGUAAACCUCUUUUAGUAGGGAAGAAGCGAGGUGUUUGUUCACACGUGACGGUACCUGCAGAAAAAGCACCGGCUAACUACGUGCCAGCCGCCGCCGUAACAC